rnacentral:lncRNA from 1 species
GAGGAAGUUCUCCAACUUCAAGUAACCUUUCUCAAAGAUCUUUAAGAGGUUAGUACAAAAUGGCCUGCUCCAACCAACCACCCUCAAAAACCCACCUAACCCUAAUGCACCCGUUUACAAACCCAACACCUACUGCAAAUUCCUCCAAGCACUCGACCACCACCCAAAUAAUUAUCUGGCUCAAGCAUGAAAUUCAAGACCUCGUUAAUGUCG